AUUGAACGCUGGCGGAAUGCUUUACACAUGCAAGUCGAACGGCAGCACGGGGGCAGCCCUGGUGGCGAGUGGCGAACGGGUGAGUAAUACAUCGGAACGUGCCCGGUCGUGGGGGAUAACGUAGCGAAAGUUACGCUAAUACCGCAUACGAUCUGAGGAUGAAAGCGGGGGACCUUCGGGCCUCGCGCGAUCGGAGCGGCCGAUGUCAGAUUAGGUAGUUGGUGGGGUAAAGGCCUACCAAGCCGACGAUCUGUAGCUGGUCUGAGAGGACGACCAGCCACACUGGGACUGAGACACGGCCCAGACUCCUACGGGAGGCAGCAGUGGGGAACUUUGGACAAUGGGCGCAAGCCUGAUCCAGCCAUUCCGCGUGCAGGACGAAGGCCUUCGGGUUGUAAACUGCUUUUGUACGGAACGAAAAGGCUCUGGCUAAUACCUGGGGCUCAUGACGGUACCGUAAGAAUAAGCACCGGCUAACUACGU
rnacentral:rRNA from 1 species